rfam:Apaloderma vittatum contig88553, whole genome shotgun sequence.
GGCUGGUUAGCUCAGUCAGUUGAGCAUAGCACUGAGAACGCUAAGGUUGCGGGUUUGAUUCCCGUUUGGUCCC